rnacentral:rRNA from 1 species
GACGAACGCUGGCGGCGUGCCUAAUACAUGCAAGUUGAGCGCUGAAGGUUGGUACUUGUACCAACUGGAUGAGCAGCGAACGGGUGAGUAACGCGUGGGGAAUCUGCCUUUGAGCGGGGGACAACAUUUGGAAACGAAUGCUAAUACCGCAUAAAAACUUUAAACACAAGUUUUAAGUUUGAAAGAUGCAAUUGCAUCACUCAAAGAUGAUCCCGCGUUGUAUUAGCUAGUUGGUGAGGUAAAGGCUCACCAAGGCGAUGAUACAUAGCCGACCUGAGAGGGUGAUCGGCCACAUUGGGACUGGGACACGGCCCAAACUCCUACGGGAGGCAGCAGUGGGGAAUCUUCGGCAAUGGACGAAAGUCUGACCGAGCAACGCCGCGUGAGUGAAGAAGGUUUUCGGAUCGUAAAACUCUGUUGGUAGAGAAGAACGUUGGUGAGAGUGGAAAGCUCAUCAAGUGACGGUAACUACACAGAAAGGGACGGCUAACUACGUG